ensembl:lncRNA
UGGAGCCAGUGGACACUAUUUUUGUGAAGAAUGUGAAAGAGAAAGGUCCGGCCCAUCAGGCAGGCCUGUGCACAGGAGACAGGCUGGUGAAGGUAAAUGGAGAUAGUGUGCUAGGAAAAACGUAUCCUCAGGUCAUAGCACUGAUUCAGAAUAGGUGAGGCUAUUUUAAAUACUCAUUAAUGAGCUUUACUUAUAAUUAAAAGUGGAUUUAUAGCUCCAGUGAAUUUGUACUUUAUAACUGCAUUUGUUUGUAUUUAGUGAGAAUGGACUGGAGUUGUCCAUCAUGCCUAAAGAUGAGGAUGUGUUACAGUUGGCAUAUUUUCUAUCAGAGAGUGAAUGAGCCAUACACUGGAGAAGCCCAAUACCUUCCUGAACCUCUCCCGGUCUGUUAUCCAAGCAGCAAACCGACCUCCACCACCGAGAACCUUGGUCUUCCUGACAACAUCAGCUGUAAGCCCAACCCCACUCUGGACAAAGGCUCUGGAGCAGAUAGUUCUGGGAUCAUUGCUGGGUUUCAGCGUGCCCAUCACCACCUGACUCACCACUGUGUCCACCCCUCAUCCUUAGCAGGGAUAACAAUGAGCCCGCUUGACUUCCACUUUGCUAACCACAAUGCAGCUAUUGCCUCUGCCUCGCUCCCCUGUCCUAGGAAAGGCAGUCUUCCCCAAGCUCGCAGUGAACUGU